rnacentral:tRNA from 1 species
GCGCCCGUAGCUCAGCUGGAUAGAGCACCGGCCUUCUAAGCCGUAGGUCGUAGGUUCAAGUCCUACCGGGCGCG